ACGAACGCUGGCGGCGUGCUUAACACAUGCAAGUCGAGCGGUAAGGCCCUUUCGGGGGUACACGAGCGGCGAACGGGUGAGUAACACGUGGGUGACCUGCCCUUAGCUCUGGGAUAAGCCUGGGAAACUGGGUCUAAUACCGGAUAUGACUCCAUGACGCAUGUUGUGGGGUGGAAAGCCUUGUGCGGCUAGGGAUGGGCCCGCGGCCUAUCAGCUUGUUGGUGGGUGAUGGCCUACCAAGGCGACGACGGGUAGCCGGCCUGAGAGGGCGACCGGCCACACUGGGACUGAGACACGGCCCAGACUCCUACGGGAGGCAGCAGUGGGGAAUCUUGCGCAAUGGGCGAAAGCCUGACGCAGCGACGCCGCGUGGGGAUGACGGCCU
rnacentral:rRNA from 1 species